UUCCUUGAACCGCAUGGUUCAAGGAUGAAAGACGGUUUCGGCUGUCACUUACAGAUGGACCCGCGGCGCAUUAGCUAGUUGGUGGGGUAAUGGCUCACCAAGGCGACGAUGCGUACCGUACCCAACCUGAGAGGGUGAUCGGCCACACUGGGGACUGAGACACGGCCAAAACUCCUACGGGAGGCAGCAGUAGGGAAUCUUCCGCAAUGGACGAAGUCUGUGACGGAGCAACGCCGCGUGAGUGAUGAAGGUUUUCGGAUUCGAAAGCUCUGUUGUUAGGGAAGAACAAGUGCGAGAGUAACUGCUCGCACCUUGACGGUACCUAACCAGAAAGCCACGGCUAACUACGUGCCAGCAGCCGCGGUAAUACGUAGGUGGCAAGCGUUGUCCGGAAUUAUUGGGCGUAAAGGGCUCGCAGGCGGUUUCUUAAGUCUGAUGUGAAAGCCCCCGGCUCAACCGGGGAGGGUCAUUGGAAACUGGGAAACUUGAGUGCAGAAGAGGAGAGUGGAAUUCCACGUGUAGCGGUGAAAUGCGUAGAGAUGUGGAGGAACACCAGUGGCGAAAGCGACUCUCUGGUCUGUAACUGACGCU
rnacentral:rRNA from 1 species